GAUGAACGCUGACAGCAUGCUUAACACAUGCAAGUCUUUGGCGAAGCUGUGCUCGCACAGCCUAGCCAAGGCGGACGGGUGAGUAACGCGUAAGGAACUUGCCCUGCAGUCAGGGAUAACAGACGGAAACGACUGAUAAGACCUGGUAAAGUCAGGCGGACUCAUGUCCAGCCUGAUGAAAAGAGAUGCUGCAGGAGAGCCUUGCGUCCUAUUAGCUUGUUGGUGGGGUAACGGCCCACCAAGGCGAUGAUAGGUAGCCGGCCUGAGAGGGUGGACGGCCACAAGGGGACUGAGAUACGGCCCUUACUCCUACGGGAGGCAGCAGUGGGGAAUAUUGGACAAUGGGGGCAACCCUGAUCCAGCAAUUCUGUGUGCACGAUGAAGGUUUUCGGAUUGUAAAGUGCUUUCAGUAGGGAAGAAAAAAAUGACGGUACCUGCAGAAGAAGCGACGGCUAAAUACGUG
rnacentral:rRNA from 1 species